GACCGUUGACCAUUAUAUCGGCAAUAUACACGUUAGCAAUACAGGUAAUUAAAUUACAAGUGCAAACAUGGGCAGAGAAUGGUAUGGGAGAACUUCAGAACGGGUUCAGAAUAGGCGUCUGGAUGAUAACUUAUUUGUUCUUAUUCAGUGUAUUGAAAUAUCCAAAGAGAGGAGACUGUUUUAUGUGGCUUUUUUAGAUAUUACCGGAGCGUAUGACAACGUAGACCACAAAAUUUUGUGGGAUAUUCUGGAAGGCAUAGGCAACGACUUCAUAUAGCUUUUGACAGAGACCUACCUAGAAAAUACAGUUUGCGUUGAAUGGGGAGGGAUGAGGAGCGAGAAGCAAGUUGAUAUCAACUAGGGACUGCUGUUUGUGAUGUACAUGGUAAGUAUGAAAAGGCCGCUAGAGGGAAGCAAUUUUGGGUUUUAUCUCUCAUACAAACAGGCGGUUAAAAUAGUAGAGCAGUAGCUUCCAGGUUCGUUUUAUGCCGACGACAUUGUGUUGCUAGCUAACAAGCGGAGUGUUAUGCAACGCCUGGAGAAUAUAUGUGCACAUGAAGGUAAGAAUUUAACAUUUGAAAUUUAGCGUUAGGAAAUCAGCUUUUAUGGUAAACAGUACUCAAUGAAAACAGUGAACAGACAGUAUCAAUACAGGGCCAGGAAAUACCUCGAGUAAAAGAACACAAAUACCUCAGUAUACACUUAAAAAAAAUCCACGCUUAAUCUCACGCUAAACUGUGAGUUUUAGCGUGACGCGCAUGUAAAUGAGGGGCGGACAAAGACAAUUGCACACGGUAAUAACAGGUGUACAAUAAUGAACAAGUACAAAGGGAAACAAAACAAGAUUAUACAAUAUUUAUGCAAUACUCCCAAAAAAGAAAACAGAACCUACAUGCUAACGUGCAUAGCACCCAAAGUACUUUUCGACUCACUGAAGAGGUCAAAAUUAUUGUUUACAUAAGCUAUAUACAUAUUCGUAUAGAGCUACCAAUCCCUCCAAAAUAUUACACAGACGCACGCACGCACGCACGUGCACAGCACACACGCCAAAAGGAAACGGCGACGCGCUCACAGGAAGCGCCUGACAAAAAAAAAAGAAAGAAAAGGAAAAGUGUGGGGAACCGAGGUCGUUUGCGCUGUCGCAUCUCCCUCUCCCAGAAGGAAUGACGAGGUUCUUGGAAAGCAGGGACGGGCGAUUCUCUCUGUCAGCAUCAGCUCCCACCAGCGAGGACGGGGCGAGAAAGCGAAGCGGGACUUUCCUUGCUGUCUAUUUUUUCUUCGUCACGCUCAACGCCGGCUGCCCGCAGGGGCGCAGGCGAGUUCCCGCCAAAUGGCGCGGGGGCGCAAGCAGUUGCGUGAGUUGCCGCCAAAUGCUAGCUCUGGAUGCCAGCUCGUUCCGCGUCUCUUGGUAGACUAGUUGGUGCAUUUCUGUUAUCAUGGACUGCGCAUAGAAACGCAAACUACACAAAAGUGACAUGGACAAAAACAGCGCAAGCCCUUUCCAUGCAGUGGAGCCGCCGUAUCUCGCCGUUCAAGAUAUGCGUACUCGAAACACUGGAACGACACUGCUUAAAUUGAAGCACAGUGUGCGAAUGACCUGCUACGCUCGGAACUGUCGCCACCAUUCGGGAAGAAAUCAGGUAAGAAUGGAUUGUGUGUGGCACAUCUCCGCAUGUGAACUAGAGUAGAUCUAGGAACAUCAGACAAGAAGCCGCGUAUGUGAAACCCUGCGGAUAGCCCAUAUACCACGAUAACCACGUAUUUGGAUGUCUGGUUUAGCUCUACAUGCGCUGGUUCGUGCAGGUGAACUUUUUUUCGAGAUACGGAGGAACGGACAUCGGUCAUGCCGUGCGCACUCUUCUGCAGGGCAUACUUACAAAUGAAGCUGCACUGCAGUUCAGCUGGAAAGGGUCGCAGGGGAGGAAGCACGCCUUCGUGAAGCUCCAGGCCAUCACGAAUCUCAUUCUAACAUCUGUGAGGAGCACCUUCCCAGACGCUUCACUGGCUUCAGUGGCUGGAGUCACGAAACGCUGGUUAGUCGGAGCAGCUGACAGGGAUGGAGGCCGGAACGAGAGAAGGCGUCGUGACCCCGCUUCAAGCCCACCAUGAACUAGCAUUUGAAACUUUUGUGAACGUGUGGGUGUAUACAUAUCCAAGACAAAUACAAGAAAUAAAGACCUGUAUAAGAACA